rnacentral:rRNA from 1 species
CCUACGGGCGGCAGCAGUGGGGAAUAUUGCACAAUGGGCGCAAGCCUGAUGCAGCCAUGCCGCGUGUGUGAAGAAGGCCUUCGGGUUGUAAAGCACUUUCAGCGGGGAGGAAGGCGUUAAGGUUAAUAACCUUGUCGAUUGACGUUACCCGCAGAAGAAGCACCGGCUAACUCCGUGCCAGCAGCCGCGGUAAUACGGAGGGUGCAAGCGUUAAUCGGAAUUACUGGGCGUAAAGCGCACGCAGGCGGUCUGUCAAGUCGGAUGUGAAAUCCCCGGGCUCAACCUGGGAACUGCAUUCGAAACUGGCAGGCUAGAGUCUUGUAGAGGGGGGUAGAAUUCCAGGUGUAGCGGUGAAAUGCGUGGAGAUCUGGAGGAAUACCGGUGGCGAAGGCGGCCCCCUGGACAAAGACUGACGCUCAGGUGCGAAAGCGUGGGGAGCAAACAGGAUUAGAUACCCCUGUAGUC